rnacentral:piRNA from 1 species
UCAGUACUGGAUCACCAGGCUUGGGAGAG